UGAGGCAGAAUUGAGAUUUUUAAGUUAACAGUGUGUAGCAUUUAGGAGGAUCUAAUGGCAGAAAUGGAAUAUAAUAUUAAUAAGUAUGUUUUCUUUACUGUAUAAUCGUCUGAAAAUAAGAAUCAUUGUGUUUUUGUUACCUUAGAAUGAGCCGUUUAUAUCUACACACAGAGCGGGUGCUCAUCACGGAGCUUGCUGCCAUGUUUCUACAGUAGCCCAGAAUGAACAAAUCAAACACUGGCUCUACAUAGGGACAUUCACUUUCAGUUGGUUGCAAUCUGUAACCUCGCAACUAGAUGCCGCCAAAUCCUACACACUGCACCUUUAAAAGGACAAAGUGCUAGAAAGAAAUAGUGGACAUGUUAGAAUAAAAGGAGGAACAAUAAGUUGCUCCAUGUUUAACACAAAUGCAUCUGCCUUAGCCGGUAGAUCCAAGACCUCCUCAACACUGUACUUCAAUGAGUCCAUAUAUACUGUGCUUAACAAUUAAACCAGCACUGCAACAAAAGUUAACACUGUUUGACAAAAAACACACUUUUCCUCUCAGGUGUGUAACUGAUUUUGUCCUGAGCUGAAAACCAGACAUAGUAAGAGCUGAUGUAGAUGAUUUAAAAAAAAAAAAAAAA